rnacentral:tRNA from 1 species
CCCUUCGUGGCUCAAAUCAUUAAGCAUUCAGCUACUAACUGAAAGGUUGGUGGUUCGAGUCCAUUCAGGGGCA